UACGUAGGGUGCGAGCGUUGUCCGGAAUUAUUGGGCGUAAAGAGCUCGUAGGCGGUGUGUCGCGUCGGCCGUGAAAACCUGCAGCUUAACUGUGGGCUUGCGGUCGAUACGGGCAUCACUGGAGUUCGGCAGGGGAGACUGGAAUUCCUGGUGUAGCGGUGAAAUGCGCAGAUAUCAGGAGGAACACCGAGUAGCGAAGGCAGCUCGCUGGGACGGUACUGACGCUGGAGGUG
rnacentral:rRNA from 1 species